CACACACACACACACACACACACACACACACACACACACACACACGCACACACACGGUCGUUGUGUCUCUGAAUCAACUCAAUACAAACUGACUCUGUGUGUGAAACCGAGGACGUUCCACAACGGUGAUGGAGGUUAACGAUGGCCUCCAGUUAUAUUGGAGAUUUAAGACCAGGUUAACAACUGAUACAGGGUCAGAUAUUUUGACUUUCUCCUAAUGGCCAAGGUUAGGAUGUGGGUAGAGCAAGCUGAUCCUAGAUCUGUGAAUAUGAGUCCCCUAAUGGUUAAGGUUAGGAUGUGGGUAGAGCAAGCUGAUCCUAGAUCUGUGAAUAUGAGCAACGUCUACCCUGACCACUACUACGACUGAGCCCUUUACCCAGCAUGCUUUGUGGUCCUCAUUCAAGAUGGCGGCUCUGUCAAAAGGGCCAAGUUUUGCAGUCCUUGUAAUAAUCUCAUUUCUAUUAUAAACUUCACCUGGUGAACCAGCUCUCCUUACUGCUGUGUGUGUGUGUGUGUGUGUGUGUGUGUGUGUGUGUGUGUGUGUGUGUGUGUGUGUGUGUGUGUGUGUGUGUGUGUGUGUGUGUGUGUGUGUGUGUGUGUGUGUGUGUGUGUGUGUGUGAGGGGGGGUCCUCAGCUUGCUUCCUUCUGAGGAUUUGAUUCAUAAUGACGUCCAGGAUGAGUUGACUGUAACAGUUGAUUCAUAAGGACAUCCAGGAUGAGUUGACUGUAACAGUUGAUUCAUAAUGACGUCCAGGAUGAGUUGACUGUAACAGUUGAUUCAUAAGGACAUCCAGGAUGAGUUGACUGUAACAGUUGAUUCAUAAUGACGUCCAGGAUGAGUUGACUGUAACAGUUGAUUCAUAAUGACGUCCAGGAUGAGUUGACUGUAACAGUUGAUUCAUAAGGACAUCCAGGUUGAGUUGACUGUAACAGUUGAUUCAUAAGGACAUCCAGGAUGAGUUGACUGUAACAGUUGAUUCAUAAGGACAUCCAGGAUGAGUUGACUGUAACAGUUGAUUCAUAAGGACAUCCAGGUUGAGUUGACUGUAACAGUUGAUUCAUAAUGACGUCCAGGUUGAGUUGACUGUAACAGUUGAUUCAUAAGGACGUCCAGGAUGAGUUGACUGUAACAGUUGAUUCAUAAUGACGUCCAGGAUGAGUUGACUGUAACAGUUGAUUCAUAAGGACAUCCAGGAUGAGUUGACUGUAACAGUUGAUUCAUAAGGACAUCCAGGUUGAGUUGACUGUAACAGUUGAUUCAUAAUGACAUCCAGGUUGAGUUGACUGUAACAGUUGAUUCAUAAUGACGUCCAGGAUGAGUUGACUGUAACAGUUGAUUCAUAAUGACAUCCAGGAUGAGUUGACUGUAACAGUUGAUUCAUAAGGACAUCCAGGAUGAGUUGACUGUAACAGUUGAUUCAUAAGGACAUCCAGGAUGAGUUGACUGUAACAGUUGAUUCAUAAGGACAUCCAGGAUGAGUUGACUGUAACAGUUGAUUCAUAAUGACAUCCAGGAUGAGUUGACUGUAACAGUUGAUUCAUAAUGACAUCCAGGAUGAGUUGACUGUAACAGUUGAUUCAUAAGGACAUCCAGGAUGAGUUGACUGUAACAGUUGAUUCAUAAGGACAUCCAGGAUGAGUUGACUGUAACAGUUGAUUCAUAAGGACAUCCAGGAUGAGUUGACUGUAACAGUUGAUUCAUAAGGACAUCCAGGAUGAGUUGACUGUAACAGUUGAUUCAUAAUGACGUCCAGGAUGAGUUGACUGUAACAGUUGAUUCAUAAUGACGUCCAGGAUGAGUUGACUGUAACAGUUGAUUCAUAAGGACAUCCAGGAUGAGUUGACUGUAACAGUUGAUUCAUAAGGACAUCCAGGAUGAGUUGACUGUAACAGUUGAUUCAUAAUGACGUCCAGGUUGAGCUGACUGUAACAGUUGAUUCAUAAGGACAUCCAGGAUGAGUUGACUGUAACAGUUGAUUCAUAAUGACGUCCAGGUUGAGCUGACUGUAACAGUUGAUUCAUAAGGACAUCCAGGAUGAGUUGACUGUAACAGUUGAUUCAUAAGGACAUCCAGGAUGAGUUGACUGUAACAGUUGAUUCAUAAUGACGUCCAGGUUGAGUUGACUGUAACAGUUGAUUCAUAAGGACAUCCAGGUUGAGUUGACUGUAACAGUUGAUUCAUAAGGACAUCCAGGAUGAGUUGACUGUAACAGUUGAUUCAUAAGGACAUCCAGGUUGAGUUGACUGUAACAGUUGAUUCAUAAGGACAUCCAGGAUGAGUUGACUGUAACAGUUGAUUCAUAAGGACAUCCAGGAUGAGCUGACUGUAACAGUUGAUUCAUAAGGACAUCCAGGAUGAGUUGACUGUAACAGUUGAUUCAUAAGGACAUCCAGGAUGAGCUGA